GGGAUUGUGGCUCAGUGGUAGAGUGCUUGCCUAGCAUGCAUGAAGCCCUGUGCUCAAUUCCU
rnacentral:tRNA from 1 species